UUAAAUUGGUCUGAGGAUGAUAAGGCGAGGUCCUCUUUCGUUUGAGGUUCCAUCGCUCACAGGUCUCCUCAAAGACAGAAGACAUGAACUGUGGGCCCUGGUCGGAGAGGAUAAACGUGGGGACACCCCAGCGUGUCAGGAUCUCCUUCCUGAGAACCUGGGAUACUGUCUCUGCAGUGGCUGUCCUAAGGGGAAACAUUUCAACCCAUCUGGUGUAGUAAUCUACAAAAACAAUCAGGUUUAUGAAGCUGGCAGACCUGACAACAGCGAACAUAAUUUCUCACAUCCAAACUCAUUUUUGGCCAGUACACCAGGGCCUGUAGCCGUUUAUAGGUUUUAUAUCUUCCAAGAUGGCCAGCUAGAGGGUCAUCAUGAUAAUGGUGGAGAAGUUGUUGUCGGAGGGUGGAUGGUAUGUAUAUUUGGUAGAGGGUUUUGUGGGGCACCUGUACCACUCUGUACACUUUAUCUUCUAAAAUGGUGAACUUUGUGGUUGGGGUUUCUGUGACCUCUCCUGUUUCUAUUAUUUUUUCAUACAGAUCCUGUAUUAUAGAGUCCUGCUGCUGUGCUUUCCAGAUAUCUGCGUCUGUGAUGUGUAGGGUUUUGCAAGUGUCUCGCUUGGACCUUAGGACAGCAGCACAGGUGGCAGGUUGGAAAGGACAUGGAUCAUUCACAGGGGCUCGUGAUAAAGCAUCCGGUACUGUAUUGUACUUGCCUUUACGGUAUUCCACUGUAAAGGUGAACUCUUGGAGACGCAGUGCCCACCGGAUAAGGCGGGUGCUAGGCUUUUGCGUUUUAAAAACCCACACAAGAGAAGAAUGAUCAGUCACUACAGUAAAAGGUCUGCCUUCCAGGUAAUACCUCCACUUCUCCAGGGCCCAGACCACAGCGAGGCACUCCUGUUCGGUGGUAGAGUAGUUUCGCUCUGCCUGAUUCAGAGUCCGGCUGGCAAAGGCAAGAACCUGUUCUGUACCCAAUCCAGUUUGUUGGGUCAACACAGCCCCCAAGCCAACAUCACUGGCAUCUGUGUACACAAUGAAAGGUAGGCUAAAGUCAGGUUGACCUAGCACAGGUGGAGAAACCAGAUGUUGUUUCAGGGCAUCAAAAGCGGUUUGACAAGAUGAUGUCCACAGAAAUUUGGUUCCCUUCCGUUUCAAAGCAUUAAGCGGUUCUGUUAACUGAGAGAAUCGGGGCACAAAGCGAUGGUACCAACCAGCCAUUCCCAGAAAUCUUUGAACCUCUUUGAUGUUCUUGGGGACAGGAAAGUCUUGAACGGCCUUUGUUUUCGCAGGAUCUACUUCCACCCCAGCAAAGGAAACAAUGUGUCCCAGGAACUUAAGUGAAGUUCUGAAGAACUGACUCUUCUUCAUGUUAACAGUGAGGUCUCCAAGCACAAGCUCCAUCAGCCUUUGAAAAGUUGCUGGGGCAUUUUUCAGUCCGAAUGGCAUUACUUUAAACUGAUAGAGGCCAAUGGGACAGACGAAAGCAGUUUUUUCGCGACUGUCUUUAUCCAUUUGGACCUGCCAGUAGCCACUGUUGAGAUCCAGUGUGGUGAAUACUGCAGCUCCAGCCAGGGAUUCCAAAAUUUCCUGUAUGUUUGGUAAG